rnacentral:rRNA from 1 species
GACAGAGGGUGCAAACGUUGUUCGGAAUUACUGGGCGUAAAGCGCAUGUAGGCGCCCAAGCAGGUCGGAUGUGAAAUCCCUCGGCUCAACCAAGGAAGUGCAUUCGAAACCGCAUGGCUCGAGUCCCGGAGAGGAAGGUGGAAUUCUCGGUGUAGAGGUGAAAUUCGUAGAUAUCGAGAGGAACACCGGUGGCGAAAGCGGCCUUCUGGACGAGGACUGACGCUGAGAUGCGAAAGCGUGGGGAGCAAACAGG